rnacentral:rRNA from 1 species
AUGGAAGGCUUUGAUGUUAGUGAUUUUGCGCCAUCCUUACUACUGAAGAUCAGUCCGCGCAUCCUGAAUAAGUUCACAGUUUGGGAAGCUCUCCAUAACCAUCGAUGGCUGCAAGAUAUUGCUAGUAUGGCGAGGUCCAUCCGAACGAACAGGAGUUAUUUGAAGAAUGGACUCACUAUGCGGCUAGAUGUUCCCAUUGGAUGCCCUUGCAAGAAGUAUUGUUGCGGUGGGUACAGCGCCACGGCCCCUCCCGCAUCAACACGCUGGUCCUCCAUAUGCAAAGGCCUAUGCAAAACUUAUAUCAUUUUCUGA